AUGGAGGAGGACUUGGUGCAGAGGAAUGGAGUACGAGUACGGAUGCUGCUUCCGUUGAUCUCAGAGCAAGAAAGGUCCGGCACUGGAGAUGAAAAAGCAAGGAGCCUUGUACUUCUUCUCACCGACAGCAGCACGAGCAGGGGACCUCCGGCGACAGCACACCAGCAGGUGACCUCCGGGCGGCUACACGAGCAAGGGACCAGUAGCAACUUGCAGAACAGCAGGGGAAAGAGCUCGAGCUUGAGGUCCAGGGCGAGCUUGAGGGAGCUCGAGGUCCAGGCGCGGCCGGAACUCGCGGUUGAGGCGCUCGAGACCCAGGCGCGCACAGGUCCUGGCCGGCGGCGGCACAGAUCCUGGGUGGCGGAGGGGAUAUCGGCCGCGCAGGCCUGGCGGCGGCGGCCCAGGUCCUGGGUGGCGGAGGAGCACGUCCUGCGUAGCGGCGGAGCAAGCAAUUGGGUGGUGCAGGUCCUGGGUGGCGGAGGACCACGUACUUGGCGGCGGCGGAGCAAUCAAUUGGGCGGCACAGGACCUGGGCGUCGGAGGAGCAUGUCCUGGGCGGCGACGGAGCAAGAAAUUGGGCGGCGCAGGUCCUGGGCAGCGCCGGCGUAG
rnacentral:rRNA from 1 species